rnacentral:rRNA from 1 species
GGUUUGAUUCUGGCUCAGAUUGAACGCUGGCGGGAUGCUUUACACAUGCAAGUCGAACGGCAGCACGGACUUCGGUCUGGUGGCGAGUGGCGAACGGGUGAGUAAUGUAUCGGAACGUGCCUAGUAGCGGGGAUAAUCACGCGAAAGCGUAGCUACCGCAUACGCCCUUCGGGGGAAGCGGGGGACCUUCGGGCCUCGCACUAUUAGAGCGGCCGAUAUCGGAUUAGCUAGUUGGUGGGGUAACGGCUCACCAAGGCGACGAUCCGUAGCUGGUUUGAGAGGACGACCAGCCACACUGGGACUGAGACGGCCCAGACUCCUACGGGAGGCAGCAGUGGGGAAUUUUGGACAAUGGGGGAAAACCCUGAUCCAGCCAUCCCGCGUGCGAUGAAGGCCUUCGGGUUGUAAAGCACUUGGCAGGAAAAGAACGGCACGCGGGAUAAUACCCCGUGCAACUGACGGUACCUGCAGAAUAAGCACCGGCUAACUACGUGCCAGCAGCCGCGGUAAUACGUAGGGUGCAAGCGUUAAUCGGAAUUACUGGGCGUAAAGCGUGUGCAGGCGGUUCGGAAAGAAAGAUGUGAAAUCCCAGAGCUUAACUUUGGAACUGCAUUUAACUACCGAGCUAGAGGUACAGAGGGAGGUGGAAUUCCGCGCAGGUAGCAGCAAAUGCGUAGAUAUGCGGAGGAACACCGAUGGCGAAGGUAGCCUCCGAUAACACUGACGCUCAUGCACGGUGCCGGGAGCAAACAGGACGAUGGCCCUGGUAGUCCACGCCCUAAACGAUGUCAACUAGCUGUUGGGGCCUUCUGGCCUUGGUAGCGCAGCUAACGCGUGAAGUUGACCGCCUGGGGAGUACGGUCGCAAGAUUAAAAACUCAAAGGAAUUGGACGGGACCCGCACAAGCGGUGGAUGAUGUGGACACCUGAUGCAACGCGAAAAACCUUACCUACCCUUGACAUGUCUGAAUCCCGAAGAGAUUUGGGAGUGCUCGCAAGAGAACCGGAACACAGGUGCUGCAUGGCUGUCGUCAGCUCGUGUCGUGAGAUGUUGGGUUAAGUCCCGCAACGAGCGCAACCCUUGUCAUUAGUUGCUACGAAAGCGGGCACUGACGAGACUGCCGGUGACAAACCGGAGGAAGGUGGGGAUGACGUCAAGUCCUCAUGGCCUUUAUGGGUAGGGCUUCACACGUCAUACAAUGGUCGGGACAGAGGGUCGCCAACCCGCGAGGGGGAGCCAAUCCCAGAACUCCGAUCGUAGUCCGGAUCGCAGUCUGCAACUCGACUGCGUGAAGUCGGAAUCGGCGCAGUAAUCGCGGAUCAGUAUGUCGCGGUGAAUACGUUCCCGGGUCUUGUACACACCGCCCGUCACACCAUGGGGAGUGGGUUUUACCAGAAGUAGUUAGCCUAACCGCAGGAGGGCGAUUACCACGGUAGGAUUCAUGAUCAGUAGUCGUAACAAGGUAA